rnacentral:rRNA from 1 species
AUUGAACGCUGGCGGCAGGCUUAACACAUGCAAGUCGAGCGGAGAUGAGGUGCUUGCACCUUAUCUUAGCGGCGGACGGGUGAGUAAUGCUUAGGAAUCUGCCUAUUAGUGGGGGACAACAUUCCGAAAGGAAUGCUAAUACCGCAUACGCCCUACGGGGGAAAGCAGGGGAUCUUCGGACCUUGCGCUAAUAGAUGAGCCUAAGUCGGAUUAGCUAGUUGGUGGGGUAAAGGCCUACCAAGGCGACGAUCUGUGGCGGGUCUGAGAGGAUGAUCCGCCACACUGGGACUGAGACACGGCCCAGACUCCUACGGGAGGCAGCAGUGGGGAAUAUUGGACAAUGGGCGGAAGCCUGAUCCAGCCAUGCCGCGUGUGUGAAGAAGGCCUUUUGGUUGUAAAGCACUUUAAGCGAGGAGGAGGCUACCUGGAUUAAUACUCUAGGAUAGUGGACGUUACUCGCAGAAUAAGCACCGGCCAACUCUGUGCCAGCCGCCGCCGUAAAAC